rnacentral:rRNA from 1 species
CCUACGGGAGGUAGCAGUGGGGAAUAUUGCACAAUGGGGGAAACACUGAUGCAGCGACGCCGCGUGAGUGAAGAAGGAUUUGGGUAUGUAAAGCUCUAUCAGCAGGGGAGAAAAUAACGGUACCUGUUUAAGAAGCCGCGGCUAACUACGUGACAGCAGCCGCGGUAAUACGUAGGGGGCAAGCGUUAUCCGGAUUUACUGGGUGUAAAGGGAGCGUAGAGGGAAGCACAAGUCUGGAGUGAAAUGCCCGGGCUUAACCCCGGAACUGCGUUGGAAACUGUGCAGCUAGAGUGCAGGAGAGGUAAGUGGAAUGCCCAGUGUAGCGGUGAAAUGCGUAGAUAUCAGGAGGAACACCAGUGGCGAAGGCGGCUUACUGGACUGUAACUGACGUUGAGGCUCGAAAGCGUGGGGAGCAAACAGGAUUAGAUACCCUGGUAGUC